UACGGAGGGGGCUAGCGUUGUUCGGAAUUACUGGGCGUAAAGCGUGCGCAGGCGGUUGUGUAAGACAGAUGUGAAAUCCCCGGGCUCAACCUGGGAACUGCAUUUGUGACUGCACAGCUGGAGUGCGGCAGAGGGGGAUGGAAUUCCGCGUGUAGCAGUGAAAUGCGUAGAUAUGCGGAGGAACACCGAUGGCGAAGGCACUCUGCUGGGCCGACACUGACACUGAGAGACGAAAGCUAGGGGAGCGAAUGGG
rnacentral:rRNA from 1 species